rnacentral:rRNA from 1 species
UACAGAGGUCCCGAGCGUUGUUCGGAUUCAUUGGGCGUAAAGGGUGCGUAGGCGGCGCGGUGAGUCGGGUGUGAAAUCUCGGAGCUUAACUCCGAAACUGCAUUCGAUACUGCCGUGCUUGAGGACUGGAGAGGAGACUGGAAUUUACGGUGUAGCGGUGAAAUGCGUAGAUAUCGUAAGGAAGACCAGUGGCGAAGGCGGGUCUCUGGACAGUUCCUGACGCUGAGGCACGAAGGACAGGGGAGCAAACGGG